rnacentral:rRNA from 1 species
CACCGCCGCGGUAAUACGGAGGGAGCUAGCGUUAUUCGGAAUUACUGGGCGUAAAGCGCACGUAGGCGGCUUUGUAAGUUAGAGGUGAAAGCCUGGAGCUCAACUCCAGAAUUGCCUUUAAGACUGCAUCGCUUGAAUCCAGGAGAGGUGAGUGGAAUUCCGAGUGUAGAGGUGAAAUUCGUAGAUAUUCGGAAGAACACCAGUGGCGAAGGCGGCUCACUGGACUGGUAUUGACGCUGAGGUGCGAAAGCGUGGGGAGCAAACAGGAUUAGAUACCCCCGUAGUCCCUGUCUCUUAUACC